rnacentral:piRNA from 1 species
UAGAUGCUCCCCAUUGAUCUUCAAUUGCCCU